UACAGUUUCCGUAGGUGAACCUGCGGAAGGAUCAUUGUCGAAACCUGCCCAGCAGCACGACCUGUGAACUUGUUUAACAUAUGGACGAGGGCGUGCGGCCAAUCCUCAUCGGGGUUGGAAACACGCCGUUGUCAUUCGAGGGGCGCCCAUUGCCCGUUUGGCCUUUGGCUCCUCGCAACACAACAAACCAAUCCCGGCGCGGGUUGCGCCAAGGAACCAUCGUAAACGUAAGGAACUCCUCUCCAUCCCGAACAUGGCGUAUGCGACGAGGCCUCGUUCCUUUCAGUUGCAAACAAAACGACUCUCGGCAACGGAUAUCUCGGCUCUUGCAUCGAUGAAGAACGUAGCGAAAUGCGAUACGUGGUGUGAAUUGCAGAAUCCCGUGAACCAUCGAGUUUUUGAACGCAAGUUGCGCCCAAAGGCCUUUUCGGUUGAGGGCACGUCUGCCUGGGUGUCACACAAUGUCGCCCAAAUACCAAACGGCUACGAAUUGCUAUUGGAUUUGGGCGGACGUUGGUCUCCCGUGUUCCCCUCGUCGCGGUUGGCCCAAAUACGAGCCUUGUUGAUGUUAUGCACGGUGAUCGGUGGUUUAAGGACCCUCGGACUAUGUCGUGCACUCUCGUCACCUUGGCACUGACAUCCCCAGGUCAUCAUAAUGCGACCCCAGGUCAGGCGAGA
rnacentral:rRNA from 1 species